rnacentral:misc_RNA from 1 species
CGCACAUUGCGCCCGCUAGUAUUCUGGCGGGCAUGCCUGUUCGAGCGUCAUUUCAACCCUCAAGACCCCCUUUCGGGAGACUUGGUGUUGGGGAUCGGCCCCGCUUGUCGGUGGCCGGCCCCGAAAUACAGUUGCGGUCACGCCGCGGCUUCCUCUGCGUAGUAACUAACCUCGCAUCGGGACGCGGCGCAACCACGCAGUAAAAAAGAUAAAUUUCUCACAAGUUUGACCUCGGAUCAGGUAGGAAUACCCGCUGAACUUAA